UACGAAGGGUGCAAGCGUUAAUCGGAAUUACUGGGCGUAAAGCGCGCGUAGGUGGCCUUGUAAGUCGGAUGUGAAAGCCCCGGGCUCAACCUGGGAAUGGCAUUCGAGACUGCGGGGCUGGAGUUUGGGAGAGGGUGGUGGAAUUCCCGGUGUAGCGGUGAAAUGCGUAGAGAUCGGGAGGAACAUCAGUGGCGAAGGCGGCCACCUGGCCUAAAACUGACGCUGAGGCACGAAAGCGUGGGGAGCAAACAGG
rnacentral:rRNA from 1 species